CAGCAGUCCUCUGAGCCAAAGCUCAGAGCUUUCCCUUAUUCCUCUCAUCCAAAACCCUCAAAUUUCAAAUCCCCUAAUCUUCAUCUCAUCCAAUUCCUUCCCCAAUUAGAAUCUCAACCUUCAAUUCAACUCUACUAUCUCCAGUUCACCGUCUUUUGCUACCAAAAUGGCAUUCCCUGGCUGUUGUUACCAUUUUCUAGGUCGUCUUUCUUCGUCUCCGACACCGCACUGUACCAAAAUUUUCACCUUCCUAUUUCAAUUUGCUCUUAUGGCGAUACGCGUCUCCCUAGGGUUUUCCGGCUACGUGGCCCAAAACCUAGCCUCCUCCGCCAAUAUUCGCGUCUUUAAUUGUUGCAUCGUCCAUGAAUGCUGGGUUAGGUCUCGACAAACCAGAAGGCCAAUCUCGACUGCUCGGGCAUGGUCCCUAAUUACCGCUCCAAAUUCUCUGCCACGAACAAGACUCCGACCUCCCUCUACGACGCCCUUGCCGAACUCCUCGGUAAAAGCUCCAAGACCUUGAUUAUGUCCACCUUGCUCUUUGAGAAGCUUUAAUGGAAGCUUAUGAAUCUGUUGAGUAUCUUAUUGUUUUUUAUUUUGUUUUGAAGUUUUUCAUUGUUCUUUUUGGUAGGCUCUUUUUUUUUUUUUUUUUGAUUUUAUUGGAAUUUGGUAUGUGAAAGUGGAAAUGACAAGCUCAGUGGAGAAGGAGGAGGUUGCGUCCUUAGAGUUGGCAUUGGAUUGCUUCUCACUCUUGCUGGCUAUCUCAGUCUCCAAGCUCUGAUUCUUGAAACAGAGGCCAGAAAAAUACCUUGGAGAGAUAGAAACAUGGGAGAAAGCUGAGGCAAUUCUCACAGAAGCAUUAAAUGAGUUUGGCAAACCCUGAUAAAUGAAGGGGAUGGUGCACUUUACGGAAAAAAGAUAGAUAUCGAUGUAUCUGAUGCAUUGAACAUGAAAUUUCAGUGUGCAACAUUAUAGCUUGAUUUUCAGCUACUAACUAGCUUUGAGCUGUAUUACUCAGCAGAGGGUGAAGAAGGCAAGGAGGCACCUGUUAUGAUACACAGAGCCAUUUUGGGUUCUGUUAAGAGUAUGUUUGCUAUACUGCUGCAUCACUACAAUUGGAAAUGGCUGCUCUGGCUUAGUCCACGUCAGGCAAUUGUUUGCCCUGUCUUGGACAAAUCCCAGCCCUAUGCUCAACAGGUAGUUUGAAAUAUAUCUUUCAGGCUGGUUAUUGUGUUGAUGUUGACGCAAGUGAUAGGACCAUACAGAAAAAGCUAUUGCCACAGUUGUCACAAUUGCAGAAAUUCCCAAGAACAAUGAGCUGGCUGUUGAGAAAAGUGAGACUUCUACUUUUCUUUUAAACUUUCAGCAAAGCAAUUAACAAAUUGUCAAACAUAUUUAUUCUUUUUAAUAUUACACAGAAAUCAUGACAUCAACUGUUGACAUAAAGGAUGAUUCUAGAGGGAGACCAGUCCAAGAAGCCAAGGCAGCAGCAAGUAAAAGGUGGAGAAAGUUGUUUGCAAUGAGAGCACCUCAAACAUCUUAAUCUGCGCUUCUAAUCCUGGUUUAAGGAACUAUAGAACAAUUUGUUGAUAAAAAAGAAGCCUCUUCAUGUUUCAAUAGAGCAUUUGCUGGGUACUGAAAUGACUAUUUUUUGUCUCAACUCUGUAAGUAUCACUAAAUACGUACUAGAGAAUCCAUGUCUUAACUCGUAAUUAUUUGUACUGUUAUUUUGAUAGAUAUGAGAUUUUUGGCAAAUCUUAAUAUAGCAUAAAUGUCUAGCAUAAAUGGGUGUAGUUACCAACAACAAGAGCCAAGUGUCCCAAGCUCGGCCGCAAAAAAAAGUACAAAGCAAUUGGAGCAGGUCCUUCCAGGUUUUAUUGAAGCCGAAGGCUAAGAGCCAUUGAGAAUAUGAAUGUUUUUUUAUUCAUGUAUAUCUAGCUAGGAAUGCUCUUGUUUGGUACAUUAUCUAGUUACUUGAAUGUAUAGAUGUUUGAAUAAUGGUACUUGAAUUAUAUGGAUUAUAGUACUGUUUAUAUGGUAA